rnacentral:lncRNA from 1 species
GCUGAGGGCUGAGGGGCUGAGGGGGCUGAGGAGGCUGAGGGGGCUGAGGGCUGAGGGGUUGAGGGAGCUGAGGGCUGAGGAGCUGAGGGGUUGAAGGCUGAGGGGCUGAGGGCUGAGGGGUUGAAGGGGCUGACGGGCUAAGGGGCUGAAGGGGCUGAGGGAGCUGAGGGCUGAGGAGCUGAGGGGUUGAAGGCUGAGGGGCUGAGGGCUGAGGGGUCUGAGGGCUGAGGGGUUGAAGGGGCUGAGGGGCUGAGAGGCUGAAGGGGCUGAGGGGCUGAAGGAGGCUGAGGGCUAAGGGGUGAGGGGGAUUGAGGGUGCUGAGGGGCUGAGAGAGCUGAGGGCUGAGGGGGCUGAGGGAGGCAGAGGGGCUGAGGGAGGCAGAGGGCUGAGAGGCUGAGGCUGGGGUAGGCCUGGAGAUGGGGUGGUCAGCCUGGGGGCUGCAGGGGUCUCCCAAGGCCUCCCUGUGGGUCUUUCGAGGGCACAGGCCCUGCUCCCGGAGGCUGGGAGUUCUGGCCGCAGGGCCUGUCCUUCAGUUACUAGGCUCCAGAGGUCGGUCCCAGCGCCUCAGACACCCACAUCCAGCAGGGACAGGGACAGCUCGCGGCUGGGAUAGCGUCAGCCCUGGGCCACGGCGGCUUGGCACCACAUCCCGUGACAGCUCUGUCUCCAGGCGUGCUCCCCAGCCCUGCCUGAAGAUGAACCCCAAGCCCUCGCCAGUGGCCAGGUAGGAACAAGGCCAGGAGCCCUGUGGAGAGGAGCAGGGGACCACUGCGUGGACGGGGCAGGCUGGGGCACAAAGGGCACUGCUUCCUCUGGAUAGCGCUAACUCCGAGAGCUCGGGCUCCUAUCCCUAGCCGGGGCGCCUGGCCUCCUGCAGUCGGGUCCCCAGCGGGUGAGCCGGGCGCAGGUGGACCUGACCGAGGAGGCGGCCGGAGCCCCUGCGGGUGAGGCGGGAGCGGCGAGCAGGAGGGCUGACUCAGAAGGUUUAUUUGCAGCGCUGGCGGGGCGGACAAUUGGCGGCCUCGGGGU